AUGUUGAAACACCUGUUCCCGUAGGAUCACCAAAGUUAAGCAAUCACAAGCCUUGUCCGUACCUUGAUGGGCGACCGCUUGGAAAUGCCAAGUGUCGUAAG